GCGCGUUUGCAACAUUUUGUAACCUUCCAGGGAGGGCGGUCCCUCUGCCUCUCUGCAGCAAGAUGGGGACAGGAGCCCGCGACCCUGAGGGAUUGCCAUUGCUUGCAAACAGGCUGCAGGUUUCCCGCCCUCCUACCCAGGCUGAGGCGGACAGCUAAGGGGAAAUGAGCUGCUGCAGUCCCUUGAGGGCCCUGAUGCAGAGCCCUGGGGCUGUCACCUGUGGGCCCUGAUCCUAGGAGGAGGGACCAGGGGAGCAGGGUUCCUGCCUGAGCCCUGCCUGGGACACUUGAAAGCUUUGGCAUCAGGCUUUUGCAUCUUCCUGCUCUUGCCCUGUGUGUGAACUGAAGAGGAGAGUAACCAGCCUCUGGUAUCCAAACAGGCAGCAUUCCUUUCCUCCUCUUUGAUUCCUGAAGUUACACCCUGCCUGUUCCUGCCUUUUACCCUCAACCUGAAGAAAAUCCCUUCGUGUGUUUCUGUAGCAAGCCUUCUAGUAACAGAUUCUCUUGCGUUUUUCUCCCCUUCUCUAACCUUCCUGUUUAUAUUCAUUUGGGCCCCAGAACUUACAUCACAGGCACACAGUGCCUGGGGGGACCUUUUCUUUCGGCCCUGCAAGGUGUUCUCUCAGUCUCUUGUGGCUGGUGUGUUUUCCAUGGGAAGUUUUAAAUUGACAUUUCCUUGUAUUGGUCCUGUUAUUUUCUCUGAGUAUUUUGCAGAAUUGUCUUUAUGCUUGUGUAUUGAGUUGAACGUGUCUUGGGUGAGACUUUUCCCAGCAUCUUAGAUGUGUUUUCCAUGAAUUGUGACCUAUCUCCUACUUUAUCCUGUAUCUCUCUUGUUCCUCAACUCCUCCUUUACCCACGAGGAUGGUAAAAUGUUAAAAUGUUUUAUGUUGCUUUGCAUGUCUCUGAGACUCUUAACUGUUUUGUUCUUUUUUCUUUCUCUUUGCUUUUAGAUUGGCAUUUUAAUGCCCCGCAGAGUCUUGGACUCUUGUUCUUUUUCUGAUGGAAGCUUAUUUAUUUCCAUUAAAUGAAUUCCAUUGAUGUCAUAUUCCAUUCAUGUCAAGGGUAUUGGCCUUUCCCUCUCUCUCUCUCUCUCUCUCUCUCUCUCUCUCUGUCUCUCUGUCUCUCUCUCUGUCUAUGAGAAUGGUUGUUUCUAGUGUUGUAGGGGAAACUGACCCAACAGUAACCAGGAGCUCAGGAGAAGAAAGGAAAUUUAGUGAUCUCCAGGGGAGUCAUCCUCAAAGUCUAAGGGGGUGAUUGCAUAGAGCUUGUCUUUUCUAUAGAGUGGCAAACACAGGUUGCAGGGGACAGUUGCAAGCUUUUAGCUGAAGGUUGUGGUACAAUGGCUAUCUUGUGGUGAACAUAGUUGUGUGUAGCAAAGUUGUCACCACGUUCCCAGGGCUUUCAGUUGGAUGAAAUCAUAUGAUUUAGCUGAGUUCCGUGGCUGAGAACAGAAUGGCUUUACCUUUGCUUAACAAAGUGUCUACAGUUUGAUCAGGCUUUCUGCUUUCAUGGUAGGUGUUUUCCAUGAUCCUUCCUUUAAGUGGGUUGUUUCAGGGCUGGAUAUUGCCCUUUCCCUUGAGGAUUGGUCAGAUGGUCUCAAUUUUCUAUAUGUACUAUUGCUUAGUUUUGGAUAAUGCCCUGGACAGUUUGCUGGUUGAUUUAGGAGACUCUGGUUCCUAUCCUCAGGCAAGCAAUGGUUUCUCUUGUUCUGUUGUUCUGCAAAGCUGUCAAGGCAGCAGGAUCAGACCGCAUCCUGCAUUUGCUUUGCAGUGUCCAGGUUGUGCUCAGGCCACAGUGCCCCACCCCCAGCCCCGGUGGUCUACUGGAUGCCUGGUGGUUGAUAGCUCAGUCGCUUUCCAAAGCCUUUGCCUUGCUUCUUUGGAACUAUUCUGUGCAAGCCGCUCAGUGUGAGUCUAGACCUUGUGCUGGCUCUUACACAGACUUCAGUGAUUUCUUUCUGCAGCUCUCUCCUCUUUAAAAUGCCAUUUACAUUUUCCUGCCACAAGAAGAGAACUUCCCCAGGGCAGGUCAACCCUCAGGCCAUCAGCAACAGGAAUAGAGUACAAACAUAGUGGCAAUUUUCCUCAUUCUCUUCAUACAGCAGAAGUCACUGCCUGUUCCUUUGUGGGCACAGGUCAUCUGUUGGGGCUUUAGGUCCCUCUGCCUCUCUUGAGACUGCUGGACAACUUUGCAACCGUGUUGCUGUGAACAUGGGAGCGCAGAUGGUUUCACUCCUGGUUUCUGUUGUUUUGCAGAAGAACCCAGAAAGGUGUUUCAUUCCUUGACUUAAAGAAACUGAACAGUAGAAGAAAGAACACUGGGUGGCAGACGGGGCCACAAUGAAGUACAGGAGGAGGUGUCCCUGCGAAGUCAGCAUCAGCGCCAUAUCACCCUACGGGCCGCUCUUGAGAGAAUGAACUCUAAGACACAAGAAAGGUGAUGUGAAACAUUGUCUGACAAUCAGUGAAAACAGUGGUGUGGAUUCUUGGGUAAGUGCAUUUUGAAAUUUCUAGAGGAUAUAAAAACAACAUUUUCGAUUUCAAUCAGUUAGAAUGCUCUUGAAUUUCUUUUAAAAAUUCAUUUAAAAUGGGGACCAUUUUGCCAUAUUUCUGUCUAUGUACUAGAGUUAGUCAUAUACAAGCGGAAUUAAUGUUUCUUUUGUAAUCUUAUAUGCAAUAAGAUUAACCAAUAUGAUCAUUUAACAGCAUGGGGAUUUGUUUGUUUGUUUGUUUUUUGGUGGUGGGGAUCAAACUUCUGACCUCUUGCUUUCCAGGUAGGCACUUAUGCCAUGAGCUAAAUCCAAAGCCCUGGUCUGGGGCCCUGGCCUGGGAUUUAGCUCAGCAGUGUUAAGUGCCUGCCUGGAAAGUGUGAGGUCAUGAGUUUGAUUCCCAGUAGCCAAAAAAAAGUCAGCACACUUGAAAAUCACUUCUUUAA